GACGAACGCUGGCGGCGUGCUUAACACAUGCAAGUCGAACGGAAAGGCCCUGCUUUUGUGGGGUGCUCGAGUGGCGAACGGGUGAGUAACACGUGAGUAACCUGCCCUUGACUGUGGGAUAACUUCAGGAAACUGGGGCUAAUACCGGAUAGGAGCUCCUGCUGCAUGGGGGGGGUUGGAAAGUUUCGGCGGUUGGGGAUGGACUCGCGGCUUAUCAGCUUGUUGGUGGGGUAGUGGCUUACCAAGGCUUUGACGGGUAGCCGGCCUGAGAGGGUGACCGGCCACAUUGGGACUGCGAUACGGCCCAGACUCCUACGGGAGGCAGCAGUGGGGAAUAUUGCACAAUGGGCGGAAGCCUGAUGCAGCAACGCCGCGUGCGGGAUGACGGCCUUCGGGUUGUAAACCGCUUUCGCCUGUGACGAAGCGUGAGUGACGGUAAUGGGUAAAGAAGCACCGGCUAACUACGUG
rnacentral:rRNA from 1 species